GACGAACGCUGGCGGCGUGCCUAAUACAUGCAAGUCGGACGCAGUUGCGAACGGGUGAGUAACGCGUAGGUAACUGCCUAUUAGAGGGGGAUAACUAUUGGAAACGAUAGCUAAUACCGCAUACUAGUAGAUGGCCCUGCGUUGUAUUAGCUAGUUGGUAGGGUAAUGGCCUACCUAGGCGACGAUACAUCGCCGACAGGAUCGGAGGGUCGGGGACCUUGGAUCGGGGACAGGGUCAAGGGGCCUACGGUAGGCAGCAGUGGGGAAUGUUGGGCAGUGGGCGAAAGCCUGAUCCAGUCGUGCCGCGUGUGUGAAGAAGGUGUUCGGAGGGUAAAGCACGUUAAGUUGUUAGGCGUUACCAACAUAAUAAGCACCGGCUAACUUCGUGCCAGCAGCCGCGGUAAUAC
rnacentral:rRNA from 1 species